GAAGGUGUGUGUGUGUGUGUGUGUGUGUGUGUGUGUGUGUGUGUGUGUGUGUGUGCACACACACACACACACACACACACACACACACACACACAUGGUUGCGUGUCAAUGGUUUUGUAUUGAUGUGUGUGUGUGUGUGUGUAUGUAUGUAUGUAUGUAUGUAUGUAUGUAUGUAUAUCACACACACACACACACACACACACACACACACACACACAC